rnacentral:rRNA from 1 species
AAUCGACCGUCUAGGUGAUGGAGGCAAAAGGCAAUAACAGGCCUGUGAUGCCCUUAGAUGUUCCGGGCUGCACGCGCGCUACACUGACAGAGACAACGAGUGGGGCCCCUUGUCCGAAAUGACUGGGUAGACUUGUGAAACUUUGUCGUGCUGGGGAUGGAGCUUUGUAAUUUCUGCUCUUCAACGAGGAAUUCCUAGUAAGCGCAAGUCAUCAGCUUGCGUUGACUACGUCCCUGCCCUUUGUACACACCGCCCGUCGCUACUACCGAUUGAAUGGAAGGGCGACACGCGAUUGCAGUCAAUACUGACG